rnacentral:ribozyme from 2 species
UAUGUAACUCCGCCUGUAGCUACUCCGGGGGCUACUGCCGGUCCCAAGCCCGGGUAAAGGGGGAGGGUUGG